GCGGAAGUGGCGGAAUUGGUAGACGCACCAGAUGUAGGUUCUGGCGCCGCAAGGUGUGAGAGUUCAAGUCUCUCCUUCCGCACCA
rnacentral:tRNA from 1 species